rnacentral:rRNA from 1 species
ACGGGUGAGUAACACGUGGAUAAUCUACCCUAGAGUGUGGAAUAAGCUUAAGAAAUUAAGGCUAAUACCGCAUAAUAUUGAACUAAUCUAAGUUAGAUCAAUCAAAGGAGCAAUCCGCUUUAGGAUGAGUCCGCGGUCUAUUAGCUUGUUGGUGAGGUAAGCGCUCACCAAUGCGACGAUGGAUAGCCGGCCUGAGAGGGUGAACGGCCACAUUGGGACUGCGACACGGCCCAAACUCCUACGGGAGGCAGCAGCUAAGAAUCUUGGUCAAUGGGCGAAAGCUUGAACCAGCGACGCCGCGUGGAUGAUGAAGGCCUUUUAGGUUGUAAAAUCCUUUUCUACAGGAAGAAAUUUGACGGUACUGUAGGAAUAAGCCCCGGCUAAUUACGUGCCAGCAGCCGCGGCAAUACGUAAGGGGCUAGCGUUGUUCGGAUUUAUUGGGCGUAAAGUGGUGCUGUAGGGCGGAAGAGCAAGUUGGAUGUGCAAGGUCUAGGCUUAACUUGGAAACUGCGUCCAAAACUGCCCUUCUUGAGUGGAGGAGAGGAAGGCGGAAUUCCUGGUGUAGGAGUGAAAUCUUUAGAUAUCAGGAAGAACACCGGCGGCGUAAGCGGCCUUCUGGCCUCCAACUGACGCUGAUGCACGAAAGCCAGGGGAGCGAACGGGAUUAGAUACCCCGGUAGUCCUGGCCGUAAACGAUGUAUACUAGGUGUAUGAGGCAUCGAUCCCUCAUGUGCCAAAGUUAACGCAUUAAGUAUACCGCCUGGAGAGUAUGCCCGCAAGGGUGAAAUUCAAAGGAAUUGACGGGGGCCCGCACAAGCGGUGGAGCAUGUGGUUCAAUUCGAUGAUACGCGAGAAACCUUACCAGGGUUUGACAUUUACUUGACCCCCUGAGAGAUCAGGGUUCCCUUCGGGGUUAGUAAACAGGUGCUGCAUGGUUGUCGUCAGCUCGUGUCGUGAGAUGUUGGGUUAAGUCCCGCAACGAGCGCAACCCCUAUUCUCUGUUGCCAACAGGUAAAGCUGGGAACUCAGGGGAAACUGCCGUCGAAAGGCGGAGGAAGGUGGGGAUGACGUCAAAUCAUCAUGGCCCUUAUGUCCUGGGCUACACACGUGCUACAAUGGGUGGUACAAAGAGCUGCAACACCGUGAGGUAGAGCAAAUCUCAAAAAACCACUCUCAGUUCGGAUUGAAGUCUGAAACCCGACUUCAUGAAGCCGGAAUCGCUAGUAAUCGUAUAUCAGAACGAUACGGUGAAUACGUUCCCGGGCCUUGUACACACCGCCCGUCACAUCACCCGAGUUGGAUAUACCCGAAGUCGCUAAGCUAACCGAGAGGAGGCAGGUGCCUAAGGUA